GGUAAAUGUCAAUAACCUGCAUGAUGAUGAAGCUUUUAUUUUGUAGUUUUCAGCUCACAGUUAGGAGUUAAUUUGAAACAAAUCAGCCUAUGUUGAAGUUAAUAACUAUAUAAAAGCUAAAUAUUAAUAUAAAUGUAAGACCAGGGGAACUUUUUACAGCCUGUAGCAGCUUUGAGGAGCUCGUUUUCUGUGUGACUGAGGGAAUAACGAUGGAAAACAGCCAGCAUGGCAGCAUGUCACAGUUAGCCGUGCAUGUAUUAACACGUUAAAUCUGCAUUUCAUGGUGUAAAUUCACAGAUUCAGAAUAAAAACAGACAGGAGUAGGGUUUUGUGUUUUUAUAUGUUGUCUGUGGUCGCACAGCUUCAGGCCUGAGUCCGUUAAAUCAAACCGUUAAAAGAAUAAAAAUAAAAACCGUUAAACGGUUAUCAGAGCUAGGUUAGCUUAGCUUGAAGCUAGCACCUGUUCAACUUGGCCGGAGGAGGAGAAAUCAACCCGAAAACAUCGACAUGAGGACGGAUACAUGGAUGUGGAUGGACGGCCUCUGGAUGGUGGAGCAUUCCCAUUCCUGUGUCAGUGACGUUCACUUCCUGUCUCCACAUCCCAGCUCCAGCUCCAGCAGCAGCUCCACCACCAACACCAUCAACUCCACCCAUCGUCAAUUGAUCAAUAAUUCAUCCAAGAAAGAAAGAAAG